rnacentral:rRNA from 1 species
GAUGAACGCUGGCGGCGUGCCUAAUACAUGCAAGUCGAGCGAAUGGAUUAAGAGCUUGCUCUUAUGAAGUUAGCGGCGGACGGGUGAGUAACACGUGGGUAACCUGCCCAUAAGACUGGGAUAACUCCGGGAAACCGGGGCUAAUACCGGAUAACAUUUUGAACCGCAUGGUUCGAAAUUGAAAGGCGGCUUCGGCUGUCACUUAUGGAUGGACACGCGUCUCAUUAGCUAGUUGGUGAGGUAACGGCUCACCAAGGCAACGAUGCGUAGCCGACCUGAGAGGGUGAUCGGCCACACUGGGACUGAGACACGGCCCAGACUCCUACGGGAGGCAGCAGUAGGGAAUCUUCCGCAAUGGACGAAAGUCUGACGGAGCAACGCCGCGUGAGUGAUGAAGGCUUUCGGGUCGUAAAACUCUGUUGUUAGGGAAGAACAAGUGCUAGUUGAAUAAGCUGGCACCUUGACGGUACCUAACCAGAAAGCCACGGCUAACUACGUGCCAGCAGCCGCUGUAA